rnacentral:snRNA from 1 species
GAUCUCGUUUAGCAAUACAUACACUAGAAUUGAAACGAUACAGAGAAGAUUAGCAUGGCCCCUGCACGAGGAACGACAUGCAAAUUCGUGAAGUGUUCCAUAUUUUU